UAGAAGCUGCAUGAGAGUUACUCACAUUGUUUCCUAAAUACAUAUUGAUCCUUACCUCUUCCAGCUCAUACAAAUGCAUGGACACAUGCCUACCCUGGAAUUAAAGUGACCCCAAGAUGGCCAGAUACUCAGAAAGUUCCCAUUGGAUCUAUUCUGGUGCCUGAAACUUGGAAAAUUUGACACGCCAUGCUUAUUGAUUUGGAAAUAGAUAUUGUGAAGCUAGCCCUCAAGAUGUGAAUUCAACUUUCAUUCAAGUCUAACUCUCCCAGAUUGACC
ensembl:lincRNA